UCCGUAGGCGGUGUGGCAAGUCGGAAGUGAAAUCUCUGGGCUUAACUCAGAGGCUGCUUCCGAAACUGCCGUGCUAGAGUGCGAGAGAGGCAAGUGGAAUUGCGGGUGUAGCGGUGAAAUGCGUAGAUAUCCGCAGGAACAUCCGAGGCGAAAGCGGCUUGCUGGAUCGCAACUGACGCUGAGGGACGAAAGCUAGGGGAGCAAACAGGAUUAGAUACCCUGGUAGUCCUAGCCCUAAACCAUCAGGACUUGGGGUUUGCCCUGUACGGGGCAAGUCCCGUAGCUAACGCGUUAAGUCCUGCGCCUGGGGAGUACGGUCGCAAGGCUAGAA
rnacentral:rRNA from 1 species